GGAUGUGGUGGCACCCACCUGUACUUCUAGCUACCUGGGAAGCUGAGGCUGGGGGAUCUCUUGAGCUUGGGAGUUCUAAACUAUAGUGGGCUAGCUAACUCAGUUUCCCCACUAAGUCCACAUCAAUAUGAUGAGCCCCCUGGAGUGGGGGGGGGGCCACUAGGUUGCCUAAGGAAGGGUGAACUGGCCAAGAUCAGAAACAGCAAGUCAAUGCCCCUGUGCUGAUCGGUAGUGGAUCAGGCUCCUGAGUAGCCCCUGCAUUUCCAGCUUGAGUGAGAUGGGGAGACCCAUACUUUA
ensembl:misc_RNA Metazoa_SRP Metazoan signal recognition particle RNA